CAAGUCGAACGAACUCUGGUAUUGAUUGGUGCUUGCAUCAUGAUUUACAUUUGAGUGAGUGGCGAACUGGUGAGUAACACGUGGGAAACCUGCCCAGAAGCGGGGGAUAACACCUGGAAACAGAUGCUAAUACCGCAUAACAACUUGGACCGCAUGGUCCGAGUUUGAAAGAUGGCUUCGGCUAUCACUUUUGGAUGGUCCCGCGGCGUAUUAGCUAGAUGGUGGGGUAACGGCUCACCAUGGCAAUGAUACGUAGCCGACCUGAGAGGGUAAUCGGCCACAUUGGGACUGAGACACGGCCCAAACUCCUACGGGAGGCAGCAGUAGGGAAUCUUCCACAAUGGACGAAAGUCUGAUGGAGCAACGCCGCGUGAGUGAAGAAGGGUUUCGGCUCGUAAAACUCUGUUGUUAAAGAAGAACAUAUCUGAGAGUAACUGUUCAGGUAUUGACGGUAUUUAACCAGAAAGCCACGGCUAACUACGUGCCAGCAGCCGCGGUAAUACGUAGGUGGCAAGCGUUGUCCGGAUUUAUUGGGCGUAAAGCGAGCGCAGGCGGUUUUUUAAGUCUGAUGUGAAAGCCUUCGGCUCAACCGAAGAAGUGCAUCGGAAACUGGGAAACUUGAGUGCAGAAGAGGACAGUGGAACUCCAUGUGUAGCGGUGAAAUGCGUAGAUAUAUGGAAGAACACCAGUGGCGAAGGCGGCUGUCUGGUCUGUAACUGACGCUGAGGCUCGAAAGUAUGGGUAGCAAACAGGAUUAGAUACCCUGGUAGUCCAUACCGUAAACGAUGAAUGCUAAGUGUUGGAGGGUUUCCGCCCUUCAGUGCUGCAGCUAACGCAUUAUGCAUUCCGCCUGGGGGAGUACGGCCGCAGGCUGAAAACUCAUAGGAAUUGACGGGGGGCCCGCCACAAGCGGUGGAGCAUGUGGUUUUAAUUUCGAAGCUACGCGAGACCUUACCAGGUCGUGACAUACUAUGCAAAUCUAGAGAUUAGACGUUUCCCUCCUGGGACAUGGAUACAGUGGUGCAUGGUUGUCGUCAGCUCCUGUCGUGGAAGAUGUGGGUAAGUUC
rnacentral:rRNA from 2 species